ACUCAAAUGAAUAGACGGGGACUUGCACAAGCGGUGGAUGAUGCGGUUUAAUUCGAUGACAAACGAAGAACCUCACCAGGGUUUGAAACCCAAACGAAAUCCUUAGGAAACUUUGGACCCCGAAAGGCGGUUGGGCAGGUGAUGCAUGGUCGUCGUCAGUUCGUGGCUUGAGUUGUUCCCUUCAGUGGGGUAACGAACGCAACCCUCGUUGCCUGUUUUCUAUGUCAGGCGAGACUGCCCCCUCACGGGGGAGGAAGGUGAGGAUGACGCCAGAUCAGCAUGUCCCUCUGAUAUCCUGGGCUACACGCAUCAUACAAUGGUCAAGACAACGGGUCGCAAUGGGGUAACCCGGAGCUAAUCCUUAGAAACUUGGCCCCAGUUCGGAUUGAGGUCUGCAACUCGACCUCAUGAAGCCGGAAUCGCUAGUAAUCGCGGGUCAGCUAUACCGCGGUGAAUACGUUCUCAAGUCUUGUACACACCGCCCGU
rnacentral:rRNA from 1 species